rnacentral:lncRNA from 1 species
ACAGUUGGUGCGAGGUUGCUGAGACAGUUGGUAACUGACCUGUUAUAACUGAGGUUAAGUUUUCACUCCGGGGCUACAGAGGUAGAGACAGUGUGCUCAGGCAUGAUUUCAGGAGAGCUGCUCCUGUCUACUCCCCCAGCACCCAGCUGAAGCUGCAACAAAAUUCCUGAACAGGAUGCGAAAGUGUUUCAGCUGAGCCUUGAGAGGUGAACGUACCUUGGCACCUGUCCCCUGGAUGGGACAACUUGAGGAAGGGCCAUCAAUAUUCCUGUUCCCUACCCAGGACACUGCUAAUGUGCAUAUGAGGAGUAAGUCCACCACUAACUCUCUAUCCCUGAAGGGCUUUCACUGUCCUGAAGUAGGCACAACUGUGUAGGCCCAGCAGGUCAUGUCACUGAUGCAGAAGAAAGGGAGAGAGCAGCAUGGCAGAUGCCUGCUGUGUGGGCUACACUGAUUGUCUAAAUGCAAGACAAAUACCAAGGGUCCUCCUGGCAGUGAGUGAAAGAGAAACCAAGCAGAGAUGAGACAAAAGAGACGAGGAAGGUUUAUUACCUGAAGGGGAUGAGGAGAGCAUUGGCAUCCUAUUUGGGAAGCCACAUCCUGCUCCAGCAAGUAAAGCAUGGGCACCUCACCCCAUGAGCCUGUGCAUAUGGGUAGAAGUGUGGGUCUCUCCCUGCACAUGCUCCAUGCAGGAAGACACUAGUGCACUGAUCAUGCUCAGUAUGUGACUUCACUAAACUCCUAAGCAUGCACCCCACUCCUGGGCUUAUUCAUUUUAUGUUCAUGGAGCACAUACCCUAAAACAUAAAUGACAGACAAAAGAGAAGACAUUACCUUUUAGCAGAUUCCAGAAGGUGCCUUCCUUGCAGGGUGGCUAAGAAUACCACUGACCAUGGCUAAGAACACCACAAUGGACACUGAGACUUGUUGCCAGUUCCUGGGCACAGGGCACACAUGGACCCGUUUGAAGUUUGAAGCUGUUUCUUAUAGGCUUCAUGUUCAAGUAAUGUUGGGAUUCUAUGUACAAUUCACUCAGUGUAAGCAGGAGUCACUGAUCAAAACACUAUAGCAUUACAUAGUUCCUUGUCCUUUUGGCCUUCCUGCCUCAUCUCCUUCCUAUAAGCCACUGGUUUUCAACCUUCCUGACUCUGCAACAUUUUAAUACAGUUCCUCAUGAUGUGGUGACACUUCAACCAUAAAAUUACUUUAUUGCUACCUCC